rnacentral:miRNA from 1 species
AGAAUUAAAGCUGCGAUGGUCCU